rnacentral:rRNA from 1 species
GCGAGCGAAAAGAAAAUAGCUCAGCACUAAGUCACUUUGCUUUUUAUAGCAAACGUGAGAUGCAGUGUAUGGAAUAUCUAUAAUCUAGUAUGAAAAAUUAAUGAUUUAAGUCCUUCUUAAAAGAGGCCAUUUACCCAAAGAGGGUGCCAGGCCCGUAUAACAUUAAUGAUUACUAGAAGAUAUUUCCAAAGAGUCGUGUUGCUUGAUAGUGCAGCACUAAGUGGGUGGUAAACUCCAUCUAAAGCUAAAUAUUACCAUGAGACCGAUAGUAAACAAGUACCGUGAGGGAAAGUUGAAAAGAACUCUGAAUAGAGAGUUAAAUAGUACGUGAAACUGCUUAGAGGUUAAGCCCGAUGAACCUGAAUAUCCAUUAUGGAAAAUUCAUCAUUAUGAUUCUAGUAUUAUUAUUUAUAAUAAUAUAUUAAUAAUAAUGUGCAUUUUUUCCAUAUAAGGACAUUGUAAUCUAUUAAUACAAUAUAAUUUAUCAUAAUAUCAUUAGCAAAAGUUUAUUCGGUUUAAUAUUAUAUUUUAUGAUAUUAACAUUGAAUAAAUGCUUUUGAUUUGAUAAAGUAUUGAUAGUUUUAUUAUAUAGUGUAUAAAUUGUUUUAUUUAAAACAAUUUUGCAAUAGCAUUUUACAUAUAUUUUAUGUAUUAUGAUUUAUUGCAUACACAUUUUAUAUGAUUAACAAUGCGAUAGAUUCAGGAUACCUUCGGGACCCGUCUUGAAACACGGACCAAGGAGUCUAACAUAUGUGCAAGUCAUUGGGAAUUUUUAAAUAAAAACCCAAAGGCGUAAUUAAAUUAACUAAUAAUAUAUAUAUAUAAUACAUAUAUAUAUAAUGGGAUUAGUUUAUAGUUCUUAUAUUUUGAUUAAUGUAAGUCUAUUAAUUCAAUCCCAGGGCGUUCUAUACAGUUAUGUAUAAUAAUUUGUAAUGAAUUAUAUAUACCUCUAACUAGAGCGUACCUUAAGCAUAUAUGCUGUGACCCGAAAGAUGGUGAACUAUACUUGAUCAGGUUGAAGUCAGGGGAAACCCUGAUGGAAGACCGAAACAGUUCUGACGUGCAAAUCGAUUGUCAGAAUUAAGUAUAGGGGCGAAAGACCAAUCGAACCAUCUAGUAGCUGGUUCCCUCCGAAGUUUCCCUCAGGAUAGCUGGUGCAUAUUAAUAUAAAACAAUAAUCUUAUCUGGUAAAGCGAAUGAUUAGAGGCAUUAGGGUCGAAACGACCUUAACCUAUUCUCAAACUUUAAAUGGGUAAAAACUUCACCUUUCUUGAUAUGAAGGUAUGAAGAUAUGAUAUAAUGUGCCCAGUGGGCCACUUUUGGUAAGCAGAACUGGCGCUGUGGGAUGAACCAAACGUAAUGUUAUGGUGCCCAAAUUUACAACUCAUGCAGAUACCAUGAAAGGCGUUGGUUGCUUAGAACAGCAGGACGGUGUACAUGGAGGUCGUAAUCCGCUAAGGAGUGUGUAACAACUCACCUGCCGAAGCAACUAGCCCUUAAAAUGGAUGGCGCUUAAGUUGUAUACCUAUACAUUACCGCUAAAGUAGAUGAUUUUUAUGUAUGAUGUAUUUUCUUAAUUGAAAAUAUAAAUAUGUAUAAAUUUUGAAACUUUAGUGAGUAGGAGGGUACAAUGGUGAGCGUAGAAGUGUUUGGCGUAAGCCUGCAUGGAGCCGCUAUUGGUACAGAUCUUGGUGGUAGUAGCAAAUAAUCGAAUGAGACCUUGGAGGACUGAAGUGGAGAAGGGUUUCGUGUGAACAGUGGUUGAUCACGAGUUAGUCGGUCCUAAGUUCAAGGCGAAAGCCGAAAAUUUUCAAGUUCUUAAAUAUUUGAUAUAUAAUAUAUGUAUGAGAAAAAAAGACUUGAUAAAUUUUUGAACGAAAGGGAAUACGGUUCCAAUUCCGUAACCUGUUGAGUAUACGUUUGUUAUUAAAAAUGGGCCCUGUGCUCAUCCUGGUAACAGGAACGACCAUAAAGAAGCCGUCGAGAGAUAUCGGAAGAGUUUUCUUUUCUGUUUUAUAGUCGUACUACCAUGGAAGUCUUUCGAAGAGAGAUAUGGUAGAUGGACUAGAAGAGCAUGACAUUUACUGUUGUGUCGAUAUUUUCUCUUCGGACCUUGAAAAUUUAUGGUGGGGUCACGCAAACUUCUCAACAGGCCGUACCGAUAUCCGCAGCUGGUCUCCAAGGUGAAGAGUCUCUAGUCGAUAAAAUAAUGUAGGUAAGGGAAGUCGGCAAAUUAGAUCCGUAACUUCGGAAUAAGGAUUGGCUCUGAAGAUUGAGAUAAUCGGGCUUGAUUGGGAAGCAAUAACAUGGUUUUAUGUACUCGUUCUGGGUAAACAGAGAUUUUCGGAUCUUGUUCCCCGGAUAGUAGUUACGUAGCCAAUUGUGGAACUUUCUUGCUAAAGUUUUUAAGGAUGUUAUCGUAAGAUAUAUUCUUUUUAAAUUGUAACGAUUAUCAAUUAACAAUCAAUUCAGAACUGGCACGGACCUGAGGAAUCCGACUGUCUAAUUAAAACAAAGCAUUGUGAUGGCCCUAACGGGUGUUGACACAAUGUGAUUUCUGCCCAGUGCUCUGAAUGUCAAAGUGAAGAAAUUCAAGUAAGCGCGGGUCGACGGCGGGAGUAACUAUGACUCUCUUAAGGUAGCCAAAUGCCUCGUCAUUUAAUUAGUGACGCGCAUGAAUGGAUUAACGCAAGAUUCCCGCUGUCCCUAUUUACGAUUUAGCGAAACCACAGCCAAGGGAACGGGCUUGGAAUAAAUAGCGGGGAAAGAAGACCCUAUUGAGCUUGACUCUAAUCUGGCAGUGUAAGGAGACAUAAGAGGUGUAGCAUAAGUGGGAGAUUUUAACUCGCAAGAGUAAUUAUCGCCAAUGAAAUACCACUACUCUUAUUGUUUCCUUACUUACUUGAUUAGGUGGAACGUGUAUCAUUUCCUAGCCAUUAUACGGAUAUAUUUAUAUAUCUUAUGGUAUUGGGUUUUGUUGCAAGUUUCUUGAACAAAAUGUCCAGAGUUUGUUAUAUAAUUGUAAACAGACUGGAAUAAAAUGAUAGCAUUAAUAAAAUGUUAUUAUUACAAUUUAAAUCUGGUAUAACACGAACACUCAGACAUGAUCCAAUUCAAGGACAUAGUCAGGUAGGGUGUUCGGCUGGGGCGGUACAUCUUUCAAACAAUAACGAAGGUGUCCCAAGGCCAGCUCAGUGCGGACAGAAACCACACAUAGAGCAAAAGGGCAAAAGCUGACUUGAUCUCGUUGUUCAGUACACACAGAGACAGCAAAAGCUCGGCCUAUCGAUCCUUUUGGUUUAAUGAGUUUUUAACAAGAGGUGUCAGAAAAGUUACCAUAGGGAUAACUGGCUUGUGGCGGCCAAGCGUUCAUAGCGACGUUGCUUUUUGAUCCUUCGAUGUCGGCUCUUCCUAUCAUUGUGAAGCAAAAUUCACCAAGCGUUGGAUUGUUCACCCAAGCAAGGGAACGUGAGCUGGGUUUAGACCGUCGUGAGACAGGUUAGUUUUACCCUACUAAUGACAAAACGUUAUUGCGACAGCAUUCCUGCGUAGUACGAGAGGAACCGCAGGUACGGACCAAUGGCACAAUACUUGUUCGAGCGAACAGUGGUAUGACGCUACGUCCGUUGGAUUAUGCCUGAACGCCUCUAAGGUCGUAUCCGUGCUGGACUGCAAUGACAAAAAUGGGGCAAUUGCAUUGUAUAGCUUCUAAAUCAUUUAAAAGUUUAUAUUAAUAUCUAGUAUAAACGACAAUGAAUAUGAUGCUAAUGUUAUUUGUAAUAUAGCAAAUUUGGGAGGAUACUAUCCCCCGAAUGAUGCGCUAGUUACAUAUAAAAACAUUAUUUAAUACAAUGGCAGUGCCUAGAAUCAAUUGUAAACGACUUUGGUAACGGGCA